CAGUACUGGAAACCGCUGUAGUGAUGUCUCCCCCAAUUGAGCCUCCAGCCAAGUCCUUCGACUCUCAAAAUUCUUCACAUCCUCCUUUGAAUGAAAGGACCCUUUCUUCAAUGACCAGGAGAUCCGUCGCUGCGCACCCAUGGCAUGAACUUGAGAUUGGACUUGGAACUUCUACGAUUUUUAACUGCGUGGUUGAAAUUGGAAAAGGGAGAAAGGUGAAAUAUGAACUUGACAAGAGAACUGGUUUGAUCAAGAUUGAUCGUAUCAUUUAUUCAUCAGUUGUGUAUCCUCACAACUAUGAUCUUCUUCCCGCAUACUCUUUUG